rnacentral:lncRNA from 1 species
CCAGCUGGAGACCUCCAUGGCUGGUGAUACCCCUGCCUGGGCCUCACUUGGCCCCGGGCUCACCACAGGAGCUACCUCACCCACUCGGCCCAGCGGGCUGUGCUUGGCUUGUGCUCCUGCUUGGAUCCUGUGCUCACCGCAGGAUCCACACUAAGCCUGCAGGUGGGCUUGGCUUGCCACAACCUGCUUCCACCUUGGGCACCAAUGUCUGGCUGAGAGGAAUGCAAUGGUGCAUGAAUGGGGAUGCGAGCAACCCUAAAGCCCCAGAGGGAGUGUUACAGCAGGCUAACAGCUCUUUUAGUCCCAUUGUCCCACUCCAAUCCAUGGCUCCAGGGCUGGCCUGGCUCCAGCACUGCUUCCUGUCACAUGGGGCGGUUGCCUUCCACCAGCAGAGGGCAGAGAACCACAGUGUUAUAGCCUUUGUUGUACUUGCAUUUGGCAGGUCCCAAGUUCUUGUCCCACAUCCAAGAAGAAUGAGGUUAUGCUGACAACCAAAGGAUGAGGAGAGUUUUAUUGAGUGACAGCUCUCAGCAAAGAGAGGACCUAAGAGGGCAGUCCCCUCUCCAAAGUUGGAUGGUCUCUUCCUGACUGAAGGUGUGUGCAGCACAUCAAAGCCUAACUGGAAGAAGGCACAGUCUUCAUUUUGGUGGCUUUUAUCACCAUGAGGAUGAGGUGACCUGUGCUCACAGUCCUCCUUUCAGGAUCGAGGGGAGCAGAGAAGUUUCCAGGCCGAGCCGUAGGCCUGGGGAUCAUCUGACACAGAGGCAGGCUGUGUCCCCACUGCAUUCAUCAGACCCACUUCCUUUGACCUACAAGAGGGAUCACCCUGCAUUUUCCAUCCUUCUCAUCAGAUUGGGUUGGGUCUGACCGAAGUUGGAUGUGGAGAGUAGGGUCACUCCUCUAGGUGGGGGAUGUGCCCUCCAUGUGGGAAUCCAAGAGGGAGCAGCUCUGAGGUGAACACAAGACUCUACAGACUUCAGAGCAGAGAGAAUAUUCUCCCAAGGGCCAGACUGUGAAAAUGGGGAACUUAGAGUGAGAGUGGAAUUGAAGAAGCUGAGGGAAGAACACAGAAGCGUGAAGGAAGAAAUGGGACUCCUGCUGACAGUGAGGGCUCCUCAUUGGCCAGCAGAUCAGCAUGCUGGUAUUGCUGGUCUCUCCAGCCCACCAUGACGUUAUCGCAUCAUUCUGACUCUGCAGGACAGGCACAGCUGCUGUCUUCCUUACAGCCGAAGUCUUCCUCGGACUUAGUGAGGAAGGAACAGAGCACAACCAAAAAGCUUUCCAUCUUAUAGCCCAAUGUCCUAUGUCUUGCUCUAUUUGGUUCAUUAAAUCUGAUUCAUCCAGACUAUCUUGUGAAGUUUGUAUCUUUCUUUGACAUCAGUUAUGAUCCUCAGAUGUCUU